UCUUCAUUUGUUGACAGGCGACAACUGUCAUGUAUUCUCUAUAUUAUCCGUAUAUAUUAUGAUAUCUCUUAUUAUUUUCAAAGCACAAUACGAUUUUUGUUGGAUACUUAACUCUUUGUAUUCUGAGGAAUAUUCUGGAAGGCAGCAUACACAUACAUAGAACCUGAAAAUGUAUUUGUAGAGAAAUAUGUAAAGUCUAUCAUUAAGUGUGAUCCAUGGAACUGAAAAGUUUGUAACUGUUUGAUGGUUUGAAUUCUCCUAUUAUAAAUGGAGAAGAUUGUAAUGUUUUUUAUUAAGCCAAUGAGAAUUACAAAUAGAAAAAAAACGAGUUCUGUACUUUCUUCCGUUCCUUGUCCCUUAUACUGAAAUUUUACACAAACCCUUAUACACAAAACACACUCAAACACCAACAAAUUGGUAUCAGAGCCAACAACCAUGAAUAACUCUUUUGCUGUUCCAAAACUUACCAAAAAAAACUAUGGCCACUAGUGUAUCCGCAUGAAGGCUUUGUUGGGAUCACAGGAAGUAUGGGAAAUUGUUGAUAAGGGCUAUGAUGAACCUGAGAUUGAGGGAGCCUUGAAUCAGGCUCAGAAAAACAAUCUACUGAAAGCACAGAAACAAGAUCAACAGGCUUUGUCAAUUAUACACAUGGGUUUAGAUGAAGCCAUGUUUAAAAAGGUGGCAUCAUCAACAAAAGCAAAGGAGCCCUGGGAAAUUCUGCAGAACAAUUUUAAAGGUGUUGAUAAAAUAAAAAAAGGUACGAUUACAAACCCUACAUGGUGAAUUUGAAUCGUUACAUAUGAAAGAAUCAAAAUCAGUACCAGAUUAUUACAUAAGGGUUUCAUCAGUUGUAAACCAAAUGAAAAUUCAUUGCAAUCGUUCAUUGACAUUUUACUAUACAAUUAAAAUUGACUGAAGAUUUUUGUUUUUGUACUUAAAAUGUCGCAAAUCGAAUUUCUUUUGGAGGCCCGACACAAAAAGACGACCAAGAAAACGAGAAAAAUAAUAUAAGCAAUGGGUUUAUGAGAAAACGAAGAAGUUUUAUAGAAGAAAGGCCUGCUGUAUUUUGAGGGAGAAAAGGCUGAGAAGGAUUGAUAGAAUUUUUCUGUCGAAACUAAUUUGUAUAGUGAUUAAGCACAGUGAAGAGACUCUUUUUGUUGUGAAGAGACCCGCGUUCAAUGCCCCGUUUUAUAGCCCGAGCUGCAACGUAACUAGUAAAUUCUCGAGUUUACAUGCAUGCCGCUGAUAAAAUCGUUGUUUCUUCCUAAUAAUAUCUCAGUAUCUGUUUUAUUAGCGAGAUUGUGUUAAUAUACCUUAUCUAUGAUACCUGUUAUUAUCUUAAAAACACAAUACGAUUUUAUUCAAUAUAUAUGAUUACUUUUCCACUUUUUUAGAAGAUAACGAGGAUUUUAAAUUCCUUCUCAAUAUCAAGUGGCUGACAUGUUCACCAAAGACUUCGUGUGAAUUUCAUACUUCACAUAUGAAGAAGUUAACAGUAUGUAUGGACUCUCUUGCUGCAGCUUGAGGGGGAAAAUUAAGAAAUACACUUGUAAUUUCUUUUUUAUGUUUAGUUUAUUAAUAUUUUUUGUCCUAGUUAGCAUAUAGAUUGAGUUAUUAUUUUGUGUACGGAUCAUCCACAUUCUUGGAGAUGUUAUUUUUGUUUAUAGUAUGACAGUAUGACCGUUAUAUGCUUUAUGCUUUCUUAUUCCCAUAUUUAAUUAUAUUUUGCACUGAUUUGGAUAUUUAUUUAAUAUAUAUUCAUGUUUUAUUGUAGGGAAUAAAUAAUUCCAAGUUGAGAAGGAUUUGAAGAUAAGUUAGCUAUUUUAUAGCUAAAUUCUAUUGAAAUUCGGAUUUAUUGGGUUCUACCCGAUUUCUACACUGUUUGAGCCAUAUCUUGAGUUCCGGAUAUCAGAUAUGGACGUUCUUACAGCCCACGCGAAGCCCUUGGAAUUUUCCUUAAUUCAGAAGUGGUCCGAGAAGCAAAGCCCAACUGGAAAAGCCUGAAAACUGGACAGAACAGAAAGCUACGAAUUUGGAGACUAAAUCCUACUUGGUUUUGGAGUUUUAUUGGUAUAUUAGUUUUAAAUAUUAAAAGACUUUAUAUGAUGAGAGAUAGAGGAUCAGUUUUAUCAUUGUACAAUAUUAUAUUAGAAUUAGGGUUAGGGAGAGAGACUUAUGGAGAGGCUAUAGCUUUUCUUGGAUGACAACAAUGAAAGUUAAAAGUUUUCUUAUAUAGUUUCUACUCUUCUCUUAUUAGUUUAUUAUGUCUCUUUAUUGUCUUAGUUGUUUUGCUUGUUUAAUUAGUAUUGUAUUGAGUAGUGUGUUCUAGGGCUUAAGGGGAAGCCAUGUUUGCACUAUGAUGUUGGCAUGAUUUUACAGUGAUCUGAUUGAUUGGUUAAUUCUAAUUGAUAUGUUUCAAUACUAAUUUGUGUAAUCGGCCGAUAUCAUGAAUUGAUUAUAUGCGAAUAGGAGUAUAAUCGAGAGAUAUACUACUAGAGGCACACAUACAAUCAGCAGAAUUGAAUUUGAGUGCGAGAGCAUCAUUGGAUUUCUGAGAUCGUUAAUACUCGAGAGAGAUUAACAUUGCUUUAAUUACCCGAUCAAUUGAAUUACUAAAAGUGAUUAUUUGUGUAAGCAUGUUUCGAGAGUGUUGAUACUUGAGAGAGAUUAACAAACUCUAGUUACAUGACCGCUUUAAUUGCUUUAGCUUAGAGCUAGUAAUUGUGUAAGCAUGGUGGACCUGAUUGCCCUAGGUUUUAAAUAUAUUAUUUUAGUAUCUUUUUAGUUUAGUGUCUAUUUAGUUAGUAUUAAUUUAAUUAGUUAAAAUAUCUUUUAUAAUCAUUUUGAUCCGGAAACAAUUGAAUAUAUAUAUAUAUAUAUAGAGUUAAGUUCUAUGGAGACCACUUUUUUUGGAGACCGUGGAGACCACUUAUGUUCUGCAGGUAAAAUAGUGCAUAAAAAUAUUGCAAAACUCAUAAUUUUGCAAAACAGGUUGUACAAAGAUCUUUACAUCAUUUAAAAUCUUGAAUAUCAUGUAUGUUUUGCAUGUAGAAUAUUACAAAAUGUUUUGUCCUACGGAAUAUGUUUAGUUUGCAGAACAUUUGUUCAAUUUGUAGAACAUACACAUUCUACUUAUUAAACAUAGAUGUUCUUCAAUAAUUUUGAUGAAUUCGUGAUAUUUGUAAUACGUACUUCACAAAAUAAUGUGUUUUGAUUUGCAAAAUUACGAGUUUUGCAAUAUUUUACUUGCAGAACACAAUGGUCUCCACGGUCUCCAAAAAAAGUGGUCUCCAUAUAACUUUACUCUAUAUAUAUAUAUAUAUUCAAUUGUUUCCGGAUCAAAAUGAUUAUAUCCUUAGUCUAGAAACUAAAAACCAAGCUGAAAUAUCACUAAAUCCUAAAGCAAAUACCACUAAAUUCUUAAACAACCCCAUCUCCACCUCCAUCUUCACCAACCCCACCUCCACAUCCGCCUCUGCCACCACCUCCGUCUCACCUCCUCCAUAACCACCACCACCUCUAUGCCGCCCGCCCCCUCCAUCUCCACCUCCAUUAUUUCUCUAACAACACAAUCUCCACCUCCAUCUUCACCAACCCCAUCUUGGUCGCUGCUUUAACGAACUUCAGCCCCGUUCAUACUUCUUUCUCCACCUCGGCUCAACUUCAAAAUGCGGCGGAGCUGCCAUUAUUCCGGCAACGAUCCAACCCCCUACUUCAAGCCACCCACACCUUCGCUACAAUCAUCCUUCCUCCAUCUCCACCUUCACAUCCACCAUCUCCACCACCGUCACCACCAUCUGAAUCGAAAACGUGAACAGAUCUGAGAUUUGAGCAGUUUUUGGAAUAUAUAUGGAGAUUCUGGGCUGUUUCUGCAAGUUUUCACUAAUUCUUGUAACACAGAUCACUAAAUCCUAAAGAGAAUAUGACUAAAUUGUACUGCGAAUAUCACUAACUUGUAUUGAUUUCUAGUUUUUAUUUUAAAAGUGGUUUCUAUUUGAUCAUGAGCCUAUAUAUAUAUAUAUAUAGAGUUUUACUCCAAUAGAAACCUCCUUAUCCUAGAAACUAAAAACCAAACUGAAAUAUCACUAAAUCCUAAAGCAAAUACCACUAAAUUCUUAAACAACCCCAUCUCCACCUCCAUCUUCACCAAACCCACCUCCAUCUUCACCAACCCCACCUCCACCACCACCACCUCCGUCGUCGCCUCCUUCAUAACCACUAUUACCUCUAUGCCGCCCGCCCCCUCCAUAACCACCACCUCCACCUCCAUUAUUUCUCUAACAACACAACCCCCACCUCCAUAUUCACCAGCCCCAUCUUAAUCGAUGUUUCAACCUCCUUCAGCCCCGUUCUGCCGUUCAUACUUCUUUCUCCACCUCGACUCAACUUCAAACGCGGAGCCGCCACUAUUCCGGCAACGCUCCAACCCCCUACUUCAAGCUGCCCAAACCUCCGCUACAAUCAUCUUUCCUCCAUCUCCACCUUCACCUCCACCAUCUCCACCACUAUCACCACCAUCUGAAUCGAAAACGUGAAUAGAUCCGGAGAUUCUAAGCUGGAACAUAUCUGGAGAUUAAGUUUUCACUAAUUUCUGCAACACAUAUCACUAAAUCCUAAAGAGAAUAUUACUAAAUUGUACUGAGAAUAUCACUAACCUGUAUUGGUUUCUAGUUUUUAUUUUAAGAUUGGUUUCUAUUUGAUCAUAAAUUAUAUAUAUAUAUAUAUAUAUAUAUAUAUAUAUAUAUAUAAUUGAAUAAAACUGAUAGCAUCUGUCUCCUUGAGGAUACGACCCGCAUUUGCCAGUCUGCACUACAACAGACACCGUGUGCUUGCGGUUAGUUAUAAAAUAACACAUCAUAGAUCUAACUAAAACUUGUUCUCUCUUCAACCUAAAAAAAAUGGAAAUUCGAGUGAGAAGGAGUGUUGAAAUAUAGGAUAUGAUCCAUUUGGAUUUUUUUUUUAGUUUUAGAUGGACUAUUUCUCAAAAGUCAUCAAAUAUCUAAAUCCACAUUAAGUAACAUUAAAUAGUUAAAUCCAUAUCAGCUUAAGAUUCGAGUAAAAAUGAAAAAAUAAACUCAUCAAAGAAAGUCUCUGGUCUCACUCUAUACUAUAUAUAAACUUGAACAAAGGACUGAAAGCUACACGGACCGAUAUAAAAGAUAUGGCGUUACAUGAAUAUUAUUGAGUAGGGUUAGGUGCACAAAAUUGUGUACAAAAAAUUUAUAAAUAAUGAUGUGGCAAUCGAUAUGGUGGGUUUUGAUUGGAGUUGUUAGGUGUAAAUACAGGGAGCUUAUUCCAAAUAAAACCUACCACAUGUUAUUAUUAUGUACAAAAUUUUGUACAAUUGUGCACCUAACAUUUUCUUUUCUAGAACACACACAUGAAUGAACAAGAAAACGAUAUUGCUUGCACUUUACAACCACGAGACAUAAAUUAUCCUUAUAUGCAGAUCCACUCUUAUUGUACGCACUUGACAAAGAGUAUCAUUCAUCACAAGUUAAUCUUAAAUGUUCUUAGUUUGAUGUAGUACUCGUCUCUCCAUCUAAUGCCUUCUCCUCCUUGGCCUUGAGCUUUGCAAGUGAUGAGGCCAACUGAGUCAAUUGAUUUUCCAAGUUCUCUAUGUUGGCCUUCACAUCAUUUUGAAAGCUAAUGUUACUGCCUGCUAUUUCUCCAAAAUUUAUUUCCUCACUGUCAGCCACUGCAACUUCUUUUAACGCCAAAUUUCCCGCUUCUGAAACUGAAUCUCCAACAAAAAAUCCUCCCCACAUGUCUGCUCUUAGUCCCAUCCCAGUAAUGCUGCGAGGUCCCGAUCUUAUAUUCUUUUGAAAUGAGUGUUCUUGCACGGGAUUAGGAUGUUGCACAGGCAUAUAUGCAUAUGCUACAGGCUGUCCUGACAGUCCUGCAGGAUAGCUAUAUCCACCGAGAGGUGGCGAGUAAUAGGUUUGAGGAUAAAGAUCAUACAUAUAUUCUCCACCACCAUAUCCUGGAUAGCUGUACCCUGGGGGAACAGGCACCAUCCCUGGCUGAGAAUAAAAUGCAUAUGGUGCCGGAUAAUAACCGCCAUUAGCAACAACAUCAGAUCUAUUUGUUAGCCUUGGUUGAUAUAUAUCUGGAAAUACAGAAGCCCUCAUCUUUCUGACAGUUGAAAUACCCUGAACCUGCUGUACAGAGUUUUCUCCAAACCUAAACGAUAUUUUAAGGCUACCUUUAGCCUUUCCUUCCGGUGUCAUGACCUGAUAUUCUGCCUCAAUUUCGUGAGAUGUUUUGUUGUCUAUGGAAUCUUCAAGAAGAUCCCUAAGGGGAAUGCAAACCACUCCAACAACCUUAUCACCGAGACCAGAUUCUGCCUUGAGAUGAAAGUUGAUGAAACUUUUGAACAUGGUAGUUCUCUCAACAGUGAACUUGAACCGGUGGUUCCAUUCUGGAUAGCAGCCACCACUCCUGUCCAUAUGAGUCUUGCGCUUUCUUUUUGAUGAUUCUUCGUGUUCACUGCUAAUGUAUACUUCCACAUACACAGCCAUUUUCAUGAACAAGUUCACAUCUUUCAGAUCAGAUGCAGCAACCACGGUGAUGUCUAAGGUGCAAAACUCCAUUUUGGACAUAUUGAACUUGUACCGUAUACUGAACCUAUAGCCUUUCUUCAAACGAAUAAAUAACGAAAUGACCAAGGGGCUUGAUUAUAGUUGGUACAUUUUGAACAAAAAAAGUUAAGUUUUGUUUUGCUCAUCUGAUUAAUAAUGGCUAGGGAGCCGGCUUUAACAAUAGUAGAAUGACUUUGCAAUCGACGUAAAAUGCUUUUGCCUCCCUUGCUAUUUACAUUGGAUUUUUCACCAGACCUCUACAAUUCACACUUGGUCUCAUAGAUGAUGUAUCAAGUUCGUUCCAAUCCGAUACAGAGGUUAAGUAAUGUAUUUUUAACAGUUAUUAUCGAGUGCAAUGAUAUAUUUGUACAAUGAGAAUACUCAAAUUAAAGAAAACAUUUCCACCACAUCUGGUAUGACAGACUUUGACGUUCAAUAUACAGUUUUUAUUUUCGAGCUUGGUUUCCUUGAGCCAAAAUGCUUAUUGAAUGGUAAAACUCUUAAUAUUAAGCUCUUUCAUAAGCUUUCUCAGCUUAAGAAGAAUCUCAGAUCUCUGACAGCUCGUCUCGGUAUAGUUCUGAAAAUUUCUUGCAUGAGUGAUCUUGAGUUUAUAUUUAUGUGUCACAUUGUCUAUUCCUUUAAGGUCCAAACGGUGAUCAGAACACCAAAUUUCAGGUUUACUCCCAAGUAGCCUGCAAGGAUCAGGAUAUAUAUAGUUAGAUAUUUAUUAUGAACUUCCUAUAGAACCUUUUAAUAUAUAUCAACAUUAUACAUGUAAUCUAACCACUAUAAAUUGAUGUCAAUUUGGUUUUAAGAACAAAUCAAGUGGAGCUAUAAGAAAUCAGAACAUGUUAAGAUUAAUGCUUGAAUCCACGUACUCAUCUAUCUGACGCUUCAGAGCUGAUAUCGUCUCUGAGGAAGUUGUACCACUGACAAGAAGCUCCAAAGCAACCCUCAAGUCAGAGGUCCGGUUUAAAUUGCUAAUAGAUUUGGUGAGCAAUACAGAAUUAAGACAAAUCACUUUCUCAUUGUUAUUCUUCAAGAAAACUGUACUGAUAAGCCCUAUCUCUUCAACCACCAACUGCAUAAAUGAUACAAAUUAAUCACGACAGAUCAAAAAGAUAAUAUACAUAGGCUAGCUAAUGUGCAAACAUGACAUUGUAUCACCUGCUCAUUGUCAAUGAUACAGUGGUCGCCUAUAUUAAACGGGUGCAUCAAGAUAGCAAGCUUAAUUCCUUGGCAAAUUGUUUUGCAACAAAAAACACCAAAGAUAAGUAUGAACAAUAGAUGAGAAGUGAUGUACAGGGGAAAUGUUGUUGCUCGAAACCCCAUUAAGUGACACCAUGUAAUAGCUGCCAAGAAUGAUAGUUUCACUGAGAUGAUUAUGUUCAGCUGCUCUAUGAUAUUGCUUGUAUUGUUUAAGAGAUGGACAACAAGUGUCCGCUCCUUGUAAAUGUUGACCUGCAAAAAGUGAUCGAUCAUGAGAUUGCAAGCCUUGAACAAAUUCCACUUGAAGGUCUAUUCACCACAGCACCUUUAAAAGAUUAGAACAGAGAAAAUGUAUUGAAUUGUACUGUUGGAACGAGAUGAAUUGAACAUGGUAGAAAGACAACAUACAACAAAUCAGAGAACUGUUCAAAGUUAAAUACAUAAGUAUAAAUCGUUAGAAUAUAAUAGGAUCUCGAUAAGAUUUCAGUCUUGGGAGAAUCGUUAACUUAAAAUGGUGUCUUAAGAGAAUCAAUAACUUAAAAUGGUAUCGGAGCUCAAACAACGAGGACUCAACUCCCUCCCCUAACUUCUUAUUAACAUGAAGGCAAUUAUCGCCUAAAAGAUGGGAACCCGUGUUGUACUAUCGACUCAAAAAUGGGUACUCGAGUGAGGAAGAGUUUUAGAAAUCAUAACUUAUUAUGGACAAAAAUGAUUGUUUAAAGAUGGGCGUCCGUAAUCAGUUUUGAUUCAAAAGUGGGUCCUCGGGUGAGGGAGAAUUUUAGAAUAUAAUAUAUAUUAUCUGGCAAGCACUAUUCUUAAAAUUUUGAAGUUUCAAAGAACAUGUAGCUUAAAAUAAAUCCCCCAUUCAGCGAAGAAUUUUAGAAUACAAUAUAUAUUACUUGGCAAGUACUACUCUUAAAGCUUUUGAAAUUCAUGUAACUUAUCAUAAAUCUCCCAUCCCAAUGCAUCGAUGUAGUAAUACACAAGCAUUGCACAAAAAUCAUACAACAACAUAUUGAAGUGUACCAGGGGAGCAAGAUGAUUUGAACAUAGUAAAAAGACAACAUACGACAAAUUGGUGAAUUAUCCAAAAUUUGAGCAUAUAAGUAUAAAUUGUUAGAAUACAAUAGGAUCUCGAUUUGGGAGGAGUUGUAAGUUAAUGUGGUAUUAAAGUCGGGCUUAACUCCGACUCGGCUGCCUGCUACCCCUUCUCAUAACUUAUUAUUAACUCUAAGGCAAAAUUAUUGCCUAAAAAUGGGUGCUCGUGAUUUACUUUCAUUUCAAAAUGAUACCCCGUCUUAAGGGAGUUUUAGAAAUCAUAACUUAUCAUGGACAUGAUCCAUUUUCAACUCAAAAAUAGGUCCUCGAGUGUGGAGGCGUUUCGUGAUACACUUCCGACUCAAAAAAGGUGCUAAAGUGAGAAGAAUUUUAGAAUAAUAUAUUAUCCUGACAGGCCCCCUCUAAAAAUUUUGAAGUUUCGAAAAACCGAUAAUUUAACAUAAAUUCCCAAACGGGAUAUUUGGAAAUUUGGUGGCUUAACGAAGCAUUCAGAUUGAUAAAUUACACUGUAUAUUUCCUGGAUAUGGCAAGGAUAUUCUCUUUUCUUUUCUUUUUUGCUAAGUGCUCCCUUCAGUCCAAAGCAAGGAUAUUCUUAUUGAUGCAUAAUUAAGAAAAUAACAAAUUGAGAUAUAUAGAACAGAGCAUGACUACUUGAUUAGUGUACCAUCCAUUUUCUAAGAGAUGCUUGACUAAUGCUUUUUGUUUCCGCAGGUCCUUCCAGCAGUCGAAGAAAAUCAGCUAUGUCCUCUUUCUUCAUGACCCUUAAAAGAUCUGUCUCUUGUAUAUCCCUACACCACAAUAGGAUAACCAAAUAUUGUCACUGAAUUAAAUGAACAUAAGGUUAAUUAGUUGCAUCGAGAACAAAUGUAUUACAUUCUACCUAAGCUCAUUGUUUGUUAAAUUCUUGUAAACCAUAUUAAUAACUUUUUCGACUUGAUGCUCCUCUUCAUUAGUACUCUUCUCUAGUGCAUCACAAAUGGUAUGUACCCUUGUACACACAAGAAGCCGCAUAGUACUAAAUGCUCCUCUGAUCAUUUUAAAUUUAGCACUGUUAGUAGGAUACUUAGAUUCUCUCAGUAGUGACUGAAGAAUGUACUCAUGAGAGAUCAUAUUUUGUAGUUUCUGAAAGUGAUUCUUGUCAUUAAAACGACAAUCCAAUGCCUUCAAGACCAAAAUCUUGAACAUCCACAGCCCCGUGGCAUAUACAAAAGUAGCAAGUGUACUUGUCACCAAAUGAAUAUUGGUGACCGGUUUGAUACAAAAGAACCAAGACAUGAGAAUCAAAGAAGAGAACACGAAUGACUGCAAACUUGUUUUCAAUGCAAAAAGAAAAUACAAGGCCUUGUCUGUCUUCAUCACGUAAAAUCUUUCAACGAUAAAGAUGAGAGCAGUGACAAUGAAGCGACUAAAAACACAAGUACCACAUACGAGGAGAAGAAACGCAAGCCAAGAGAAAAACAUGAUCCUCUAUCAAAGUAUGCUUAGCGAGUACAAGAUGUUUUAGACUUUUAUCAUAUUUAGAUGUUGUGUAAACUACUAUAUAGGACUAGCGUCGCCGCUCCAUUGAAGUUAUGUGUACGAGCGACGAAGAAUAUUCAAUUCCUGCAGCUUGUGAAUCAUCGCCCAUGUUAUCAGCUCUGUGGGGACUGCAGCAGAGCACCGAGUGCUAGAUUUGAUCCUAUAUAAGGAUUGAAUUCAUCUCUAGUCCACACUAUUUACGCAUCAUUUCCUUUCGUAACAGCAAACUCUGUCUUACAUGUAUGGAUGUAUAUCUGGUUUUUGUUGGUUAGCGGUUGUAAAAAGAGAUCAUCGAGGAAUGGUGACACUGGAAAGACUAGUAGUGGUUAAAUAACCGGCUUCAAAUAUUCCUAGCUAACUUUUUGUACCACGAAUAAGUUAAGUAGCAACAUAAACUGAGUGCAGAGUAUCGGAAGGAUCGUUCGGGUAUGCGAAGAAGAAAGCCAAGAAUGUUUAUCGUUACUGCUCAUGGACAAAAGAGGGCCCAAAACAAAAUGACAGUAGAAUAGGAGAAACGCUGAGUCAUCGUGAGCCUGUUUGGAAAAGGUAUGUAAUAAGGCAGAAACUUACCUAAAUGUGGUGUUUGUUUACCAGCUUUAUAAGUUAUAAGUUAGAAGCACUUAUUCGUAUUGUUUACGUAAAAAAUCAAAAAUUAGUUAUGAAAAGUUAGGAAUGCUAUCUUUUGUUUCAGGGUUUUUACUUCUUUCUCAAACACUUUAAUCACUUAUAAGUCUUAACUUGCUUUUGAUUUCUACUCCAUUUUUUUAUUUUAAACAAGAAGCACUUAUUUUAAAUUCACACAAACGGCCUCAAAAUAAGUCUCAAACUAAUUUAAAAUCACGAAUUAGUUUGAGCUACUUUUUAUCUUGUGACUCGGGCUGUCAAUUGAGUCGUGUAAGUCGAGUUUUGAGCCGAACAUAAUUCGAGCAAAGUUUAAUUGAGCCGAGCCGACUCGUUUAAUUACUCCAGCCUAAACCUCUUCCCGAACUCGACUCGUAAAACUUCACGAGCCUAGUCGAGCCGGCUCGUUUAGCUAAACAAGCCGGUUUUAACGAGUCAAGCGAGCCAGCUCGUAUAAUUUUACACUUAAUAGAGUCUAAAACUCUGCCCGAACUCAACGCGUCAAUUUCACGAGUCGAGUCGAGCCAGCUCGUUUAAUUAAAUGAGCCCGAACAUUUGUUUGAAUUCAAUUCGUUUAACGAACCGAGUCGAACCCAGUUAAACGAGUUCGAGCCGCACGAGCUCGCAAGCUACCUUCUAAUUACAGCUCUACCUGUGACUUUAUAUUUUUUUAAAAGUUAUCCAUAAUUAAAAAUUUACUCAUUAAUCCAUUUCAUUUUUAUUAUCAAAUUUUUAGUAACUCGUAAAUCAUUAAUAUUUCAAAAUUGUCGAAAUAGACUAAUAAAUCUUCUUAAAUCAUAAUUUCAAACUCGUUCAAAUAUGCUCACGAACAGCAGCUGGGAGACUAUUAUCGAAGUUUUGCUCAUCACCCAAGUUUUAUUUGAACUUCUCGCUUAAUUUCGAAUUUACAUUUCUGUUGCCGUAUUGUGUUAAAUAUUCUUUUCAAAAUACUUAUUAUCCAAAUUUAAACAUUGACUUGACUCAAUUAGUUACUAUCAUAGUUUAAGAGUGUGCUAAAAAUUAUUGCAUUAUUUAGAAAGGUGUUGAUAAAAAACAUUAUUAUAGAAGUCAGAUUAUCAUUUGAUAUUUUUUUUUGAUAUUUACAUAUUUUAAUUUAUAAUAUAAAAAAUAAUAUUUUUGAUGAGAUUUGGUUGUGAAAUAUAUAACAGCUUUCUCGCAAGUAUGUUUUUUUUCAAAAAUACGGGGAACUGUUUUAUCUAAAAACAGUUUUUAAAUUUAAAAAACAAUUAAGUGACGGCAUUGACUAUUUUUUUGUAUGUUUAACUGACGACAUGUCUAUUUUUUGUAAGUGUUUCAAAUUUUUCUUUAGGAAUGACUAAAAACGCUCUGAGCCUGUGUUGAAUAAUUUGCAUUUGAUUCUUAAAUUUUAGUCGGAAUAUACGAGUUGCUACUAUUCUUUGUGUAACUUCUUUCGUUUGAUUAUACAUAAAAUCUUGACCUUAACUUUUAGUGAUCAAGAACAUAAUAAUUUUUCUUAUUACUUGGGUUUUUUUUAUUCAAAACUACGUUUUCAAUCUUAUUUUCAAAAAUACUAUAUUAUCCAAUCUUAUUUUCAAAAAUACUACCUUCUUUAAAAUAUUUUCAAAAAUAUCGUGGUUGCAUAUGCAACCAUAUAUGCAACUGAAUUCCUAAUUUCAAAUUCCAGAUUUCAAAUGUCAUUUUCGACCUCAUCUUUGGAAUUGAUAUAUUCCAAAGAUGAGGUCGAAAAUGACAUUUGAAAAUUGGAACUUGAAAUCAGGAUUUGUAGUUGCAUAUAUGGUUGCAUAUGAGGUUGUAUUCAGUUGUAACUAUUGUAAUCUAAUGGCCCCGCCAGGGGCACCCAUACAUCAGUUGCAACUUACAAUUUUUCGUUGCAUAUGAUGUUGCAACUAAAUGCAACUGAAAAUCGUAAGUUGCAACGGAUGUAUGGUGUGCCCCAGGCGGGGCCAUUAGAUUGCAAUAGAAUCAACUGAAUGCAACCAUAUGCAACUAAAUACAACCAUAUGCAACCAUAUAUGCAACUACAAAUCCUGAUUAGGAUUUGUAGUUGCAUAUAUGGUUGCAUAUGCAACCACCGUAUUUUUGGAAAAUAUUUUCAAAAAGAUAGUUUUUUUGAAAAUAUUUUAGAGAAGGUAGUACUUUUGAAAAUAAGAUUGGAGAAGGUAGUAUUUUUGAAAAUAAGAUUGAAAAAACAGUAUACAAGAUAAUUCCCCUUACUUUUUUUAUCAAUGUAGUACUCUACUCUAAGAUAUUAGGACAUAGCAAAACCACUCUUGUUAAUAUUUACAGCACCCUGGCCCUCAUUAUUCUAAUUUUUGUAUAAACAUUAUUUAUUGUUUUUUUGCCAUAAUUAAUAUAUUGGGCUUUUAUUAGUAAAAUUUAUUGAUUAAAUAUCUAUUACAUCAUGAAUAUAUGUAUCAUAAUGUAAAACAAAGAUACAAGUCCGUGAAAUAACUUAACGGGCGGAAUAUUUGUACAACUAUAUAGAUCUGUUGGUGUAAUUUAAGAAAAAAAGUCGAAAAUAUUAUUAAGGAAAAGGUAAUUAUUUAGUUUUUCUUUUAUUUAUAUAUUUUAAUUUAUAAUUUUUCAAAAAUAAUAUUUUGAAUGAGUUAGGAAAUGUGUAACAAUUUCUGGGGAGAAAAAGCCCUAAAUAACUAAGAUUUAAAUACUACAUUACCUAAAUACCAAAACUCGGUGUGAACUUCCUUUUUACCUACUGCCAUGCGCAUUUCCUCGAUGCGUAUACUAUGUCCAACUGUUUUUCAUUUUGUACUCUUCAUCUGAUGGAUAACUCAUCCACCUCCCCCCUAUAUGAUGCUUCUUCAAUCUCAUUUAUCUACAAAAGUAAAUGCCCAGUUUAACAUAUAUAGGGACUGGGUUAUAGAAAAAAAGGCUGGAAUUUUAGAGUUUGACAAUCAAAUUGAAAGUAUGUAUCAAUUGUUAUGAUUUGGAAUAGCUUGCUGUUGGCGUCGUCCGUGUGGAGGUAUGGUGGCGACGGUGUCUAGUUUAGCAUAAUCGAGACUUUAGUAACGUGUAUUUGUCCGAGUUCUGGCUAGUGUCGUUGAACUGAUUUGUGGCGGGGACGUUGGCUUUACCACAGUAGUGUGCAGAAAAGUCAUAAACGCGAGAGGUUACAGGUCGAGGGAGUUGAGAUAAAGGCCGGUGGAAUCUGAGUUUGCAGGACGGCUCUGCUAUCUGAUGAGUGCAGAACUUCAAACGACUAGUACAAACAGAAGAAAAGUAGUACUUGUAUAAUCGCAUGUGGUGCAUGCGUAUAAGAAAUAAGAUGCAGUCACGCAUCCGCCAGAUGCGUGUAUGAGGCUUAAAAUGUGUAGUUGGAGGUAGAUUUCUAGCACUCGCAUUUGACAAAUGCGUAAGUACUAUAUACGUAUGUCUAGAAUGCGUGUUUAAUUAAAUAUUUAGGGCACCAGUUUGAUAAGUUGUUAUUUUGGGCACUCUUGUUUUAAAUUUAGUUAGACAUGGCCUUCACCCGUUUUUGGGACAACUUUUACCAAAAGCAUCUUGUAAUUAGCUUUUCUAAAAAAACGGUGUAUUUUGACCAAACACUGGGUUCAGAAAAAUUAUUUUUGUAAAUCUACUAAAGAGUUUUUUGUUUUUCAAAAAAACCUCACUAUCACAGGCCAAAAUAAUUAUGAGUACUUUCGAAGUAAACAGUUUAGUUGCUCAUUUAGUUUAUACAUCAUUACUUUAAUUAGUGUAACUAAAAAUAUACGAUAAAACUAUGGGUAUUUGGCACAUAUACCCUAUUUUAGCAUACAUUUUGCAAUAAUACGGUCCUCCUGUCAUUCUUGCAUAUUUAUGUUACCAUUCAAAAAAAAAUUGAAGAAUUGCAUAUACACAGUACGUUUUCGAUAUCACUAACUCUCUCGCCGCUUUCUCUCCCUCUCUCCUCUUUCUCCUCACUUUCUCUCCCUCUCUCCUUAUUAUCCUCACUUUAUCUUCCUCUCUUCUUUCUCUCUCCUCACUUUCUCUCCUUCUUUUUCUCUUUCAAAUCAUAAUUAAAAAUUCUUUUCAUCUCGAAUGGCUCAGGCUUCGGAUGCUUGGAUAUGAGUUCGAGAAAGUGAUUAAAAUUGAAAACGGCGGUGAGUUUAUCUUGACAAUAAUCGUCUUGAGUUGAGUUUGUGUUGGAUUGUCACCGAAAGAUCGUAUUUAGUUGACUUUGAGGUUAAUUUUAGUUGAUUUCAGGGUUACUUUUGUGUUAUUAAUACCGGGCCCGCAGGGCGCUUAUUUUCGUCAUUUGGAAUCGCUUGCAACUUAUUAUGUAACUAAAUGUAAUUUUCAACCGAUUAUUUAACAAUUGCAUAUGUGGUUGCAUAUACGAUUGCUAGCAGCUGCAGAUAAGGUUGCAUAUGCAGCAACCGUAUUUUUACAAUUUUUUUUUCAAAGAUAGUAUUUUUACAAUUUGUUUUAAAAAAUGAUAGUAUUUUUGGAAAAAAAAAUUUAGACUUAGGUAUUUUGAGAAAAGCCCUAAAACUAUUGAUAUUAUAUAUACAUGCAUGCAUAUAUAUUUGAUCACAUUUUCAAGAACAAAUUGUGUUCAUGAACAAGAAUUGAUGAGCAUUGUAAAAUGGUAUCCAUCGGACACAGUAAUGUAUACAUCGAUCAAAAUUGUCACCAAAAGGGUAAAAGCAAAGCUGCGAAGCUAGCUGCAAAACCAAGUUUCGUGGCAACAAACAUGCAUGCCCUGAUCAUGAAGAGAAAGUACUUUCAUUUUUGACAGGAAGUGUAUAUAUAGACACUAUUAGAGGACAGGAUAUACAGCUGUCCGGAUAGAGAUUUGACUUGAGCGGAAUUCACAAACAUUUAGUCGGUCAUUUUUAUGGCUUGUAACAAGAACACCAUGUUUAAGGUAUAAAAAAUACUUAGUGCAGCAAGAGGACAAAGUUAUACUUGGUACACAGAGACACAAAGUAACAAGAGAACUAUGCGGAUCGUUAAUAAUUGUAGUACGUGCUAGCUGUAGUUAUUAUACUAUUAUAUCUCCAUAGUGUGUAUCGAAAUUAGAGGAAAAUUAUACGAGAACCACUAUUUUAUUGAAGACCUCGACAUGGUACAUGUUCGGAAUAUGUGGUUGUAUAAUAACAUAUUUGGUAAUAUUCUGGUUGCAGAACAUGUAUACUAGGAAGUCUCGAAUUACAAGGAGGUCUCCGUAGAACUUAACCCAUCGAAAUUAUUAUAAUUUCUUAUAGAAAUUAUCGCAGUUUCGAAAAUAAUGAAGUUUUAGGCUUAUUCCCAAGUUGCCUAUACAUUUAGUUGGAUAGUUAUAUAUCUUGAACCUUUUGAUAUACUUGGAACCUUAAUUAUUAUGAAGUUUUUGGGAGAGCGAGAAUCGAGCACACAAAAUUUGAAAAAUAUAUUAAAGGGCUGUUUUCAGAUAUAAGCUUAUCUGCAACAUUGAUCCACAAAGACUAGCAAAGAGUUGCAGCUAUAUCACAACUAACAUUGGCGAAGGAACCAUACACUUUAAUCUUAUAGUAGUACACAGCCGUUGACACCUUCUAAAUUUACACAAAUUUAAAUUUAUGAAACAAUAAACAUUUCUAAAUUGUGUUGCUUUAAACUUAAUGGUUUUUGUUUGGGGCUAGCUUCAGAUGGGCACCUCAUUUGUGCUGGUAAGAUUCGAAUAAAGCUGAUUCGACUGGAUCAGAAUUGAAUUUAGCUAGAUGGCAACGUCAUAGCUAAAAUGACCAUGAUUCAGAGUACAGAGAACUGUUUUUUCUGGAUCAGAAGGGAGCCAGAUGACAAUAUGAGAGCUGAUACUAGAGAGGAUCAGGUUUGAGGUUGGAGAUUAUGUUUAAUGAAAUUGAAAGUGCCAAAGUUUCUGGUAAUGACACGAUUAUGGAGAUUUUGAGGUCAGAGAACAGAGAUUAUACUUAAUGAAAUUUUAAACAGAUAAAUUUUCUGGUAUUUCUAGAGGGAAUUCAAGAAGUAGUUCUUGACAGAACAUAUAUUUUGCUAAUUAUUGAUCACUUGUUUGGAUUUUUGCUUUAGCACUUUUUAUCACCUCCCAAUGUAAAAUUUAAGAUAUAAAUAUUUACCGUUUCCACAUCCUUAAACUUGAUAGAUUAUUGUUAACCUUAAAUCAACUUCGUUUGUGAAAAAAUUUAGUUGGUUCACUUCGAGGGGUCCUUUGGUCAAGAUUCAUCUACUGACGGAAAUAAGAAUUGUGAAUGAGAUUCUGACAAAUAUUAUUUUUGUUAUGUGAAUGGUUUAACAACAAUGAUACUAAUAUUAUUACUGAAGCUUCUUGUUUAUAGAGUUCUUGCAAACCAGAGAACCUCAUGCUCAACUUGUUGCUUAUUUUCAGACGCUUUGUAAAAGAGAUCACAAUUGGUUAAUAACCUUCCAGCACCUAAUAUUGUCUAAAGAAAUAUUAUCUCGUAUUAAGAAUAUUGAAUAGUUAAAUAAAUAAUAUUAAGUUCUUCCAAAAAGCUUUCUAAGAUUCAGAACAAGCUCAGACCUCUGAUAUUUCUUCUCCGCGUAGUUCUGAAAAUUUGUGGCAUGAGUUAUCUCGAGAUCAUAUUUAAGCCUACUCCAAGUAACCUGCAAGGAUCAAGAUGCAUGUAGUUGGGUUGUUGUACAAUAUAAACUUUGGAUGCAGAACCUUUUGAUAUAUUAUGAUUUUUUUUUUUGAUAAGCAUAUUAUGAAUGUUAUUCAUAGAACUUCAAUCAUAAACCCAUGUUCACAGAUUGAGAUCGGAGAUCCAAUUUAGUGUUUUAAACAAAAAUAGUAAUGGAGCUAUAAAAAUCUAGAAAUUGUUAAGAUUAAGAGUUGAAUUCACAUACUCUUCUAUCUUAAGCUUCAGAGCUUCAGUAGUCUGAGGAAGUUGUAGUGCUACUGAGAAGAAGCUGAUAAGUAUCCCUUAAGAUGCUUCACUAUAGCUCUUUGUUUCAGCGGCCCCUUCAAACAAAUGAAAAACACUUGCUAUUUCCUCUUCUCCAUGUUCCGUAAAAGACUGGUCUCUUGUAUGUCACUGUUUAACAAUAAAAUCAACCAAACUAUAUAGCUGAGUAAUAAGUGAAACAGAAGAGAAAAGAUAGAUUCUGUGAAUUUAUCUAGGCUCGUUUUUGUUAAAUUCUUAUAAACGUAGCUAUAGCGUUUCCAACUUGAUUUUCAUCUUCAAAUUUACUGUUCUCAAUGGCAUCCCAAAUGGUAUGGAAAUCUUGUACUGACAAGAAACAAAAUAUUAGCAUACACUCCUUUGGUAAAAUCCUUAAAUCCUCUCCUUGUAGGUCCUAAUAGCGUCUGAAGAACGUACUUGUGAGAGAUCAAGUCUUGCAUGUUGUGGAAAAAUUUCUUGUCAUGAAAAUGACAAUUAUCCAAUAGCUUCAAAAUCGCAAUCUUUAACAUCCACAUCUGACAUCCCGGGGGAAAUUAAAUAGAGUAGCUAGUGUAGUCGUAAAAAACGAAUGACUAAAAUGGUCAUGUCUGGUUUGAUAAACAGUAACAAGACAGAAGAGCUGAAGCAGAGCAAGAAGCACAGGACCCUUGUUUUUAGAGCAAACACAAAAUAGAGAGCCUUGUUUGUCUUCCUCACAAAAUAUCUUUAGUGAUAAGAUUGAGAGCAUUGACCAUGAGGCGACUAAAAACACAGUGUGAAAAUACAAGGAGAAGAAAUGCAAGCCAUUCAAUGAGUAUGCUGGUAAAUAAGUGACUGCGAAAAGUUUUAGCAUUAUGGCUAGAAAUGCACUUGAAGUAGUUUGUUUAAGAAGAAGACUCAUCUCAAAUUUCUACUUGAAAGUUUCUGGAUUUCCUCAGUUUUACAAUUUUUCCCCUUCAAAAUUCAACUCUCGGUAAAAUUUGGGAGACCACAACUAAACCGAGAGGGAAUAAAUUUCAUUCUUUCCUUACAUGUACAAAUCCUUGUGUUCUUUUUAAAACAGAACUGUUAAUGAUACUACAGAAUAUUCUAGUGAUGCCAAAUCAGCAAAGUCACAGCUGGCAACAGCUCUCAUAGCUAGUGGGAGUUAGUUAGAAACGAGUAACAACCUGUAUAUAAAGACAGUAGGAGUAGUGGUUAUAUUAGCCAGUUAGCUUAUUUGUUAAGUAAUGUUCCUUUAUAUUUCUUUCCUGUAAAUACACUUUGAGAGCUUUAAUGGAGUUUACAUAGAUUUAGUAUACAAAUUCUAUACAUUCUAACAUGGUAUCAGAGCGAGGAAUUUCGAUCUCUUCAUAGCUGCGUUCAUAGAUUCGUUCACUUUCAGUAUCGCAGUGCUCUCUGUGAAGUUCUCAAGCUUUUCGUCCGUACGAUAAUGGCGAUUGUGCUCGGAUCUUCAUUUUAGUAAUAUCUACUACUCUCUCUUCUAUUCUAGUCACAAUUCCGCUUGUGUAUACUCUAUCUACGAUUCUCGCACGUAUUAUCUUGAGUUUUUCGCUGUUGCAUCGUGAUUGUUUGACCUAAUUGCUCAUUCUCGCACAUUUUAUCAUGACUUCAACAAUAGCUUCAUAUUCAUCUGUUGCUAUGGGAUCUUCAUCCUCUACUACUGUUUUAGAUGUUAAUCAUCCGUAUUAUUUGCAUCCUUCGGAUAAUCCGGGAUUAGUUGUCUCUGCUGUUACUCUUGAUGAAAAUAACUACGGUCAAUGGCAGAGAUCUAUGGAAAUAGCUUUAUCUUCUAAGCUUAAGCUAAGUUUUGUAGACGGCAGUUACGUUCAACCUCCUGCUAAUUCACCUCUGUAUGUGCAUUGGAUGAGAUGCAACAACAUGAUUACAUCCUGGUUGCUUAACUCUGUAAAUGACACUAUUAGAAACAGCAUUGUGUAUAUGCGUACUGCGAAAGCUAUUUGGGAUGAGUUGCAAGUGCGGUAUGCUCAGUCUAAUGUCCCUAAGCUGUUUGGUUUGAGGAAAGAUAUCUCUCAUUUGUCUCAAGGCUCAUUGUCUGUUACAGCUUAUUUUACAAAGUUCAAAACUCUGCUGGAUGAACUUGAUUGUAUCAGUGCUGCUCCUAGAUGCACUUGUUCUGGUUGUACUUGUGGUAUUAACAACAAACUGGAGGCUUCUGAUAAAAAUGUGCAAAUGACACAAUUUCUGAUGGGACUAAAUGAUCAAUUCACUGGAAUUCGUGGUCAGAUUCUACUCAUGGUUCCUCUGCCCUCCCUCAGUCAGUGCUAUUCUAUGCUGUUGCAGGAGGAAAAUCAAAGGAGUUUUAGUACCUCUGCACAUCUGAACUCUGACUCGGUUGCUAUGUCAGUCAAGACUAAAUCAGCCUACAACAGAACUGUCAAGAAAACUACAGAUGCUCAAGUCUUUUGUGAGUAUUGUCAUAUGCAAGGACAUGUGAAAGACAAAUGUUUCUGUCUUCAUGGCUAUCCUACUUGGCACAAGCUUCAUGGCAAACCAAAACCUAAACCUAAACACUUGGCAGCCAAAUCUGUUGCAGCUCAAGUGUACACCUCCAAUGACAUACCAGUGGACUCUACCACAGAGUGUUCUGCUCCUGCAUCUAGCAAUGAUCAAUUCUCUGAUGGUCAGUACAAGCAACUCAUGCAGAUGUUCCAGUCCUUUACAGCAUCACAGAACAAGGAUACUGGUCCUGCUGUCAACAGUGUGCAGUUUGCAGGUACCAUACAUUUUGCUAGCCCUGUGUCUACUUUGCCUCACUCUCCAGCUGAGUGGAUUAUAGACACAGGUGCUACAGACCAUGUUACACCACAUUUGCAUUUACUUGAAAAUGCUACACCAUGUGCAUCCACUCUGUAUUUACCUGAUGGACACACUGCUAAUGUUACUCAUGUGGGCACUGUCACUAUUAAUCCACAUUUAGUUCUCUAUAAUGUGUUGUGUGUGCCACAUUUUCAGUACAAUUUAUUGUCUAUCUCUCAAUUGUUAUCUCACUCUUUAUCUUCUACUGUGAGUUUUCACAAGGGUGUUUGUUCUCUUCAGGCCCCUACCUUGAUGAGGGACCUAGAGAUUGGUAAAGCAGUCAAUGGCUUAUACAUUCUACAUUCUGCAUCAGUUUCUUCCACACCCAAGUGUCUUACUGCUACUUCUCAAGCAGAUUUGUUUGAACUCUGGCAUGCUAGAACUGGUCAUGUACCUUCUUCUGUUUUGACUUUAUUUCAAGUUUCAUGUAAAGCUCCUAAAAUUCACUCUUGUGAUACUUGUCAUUUGUCAAAACAGUCUAGACAUGCUUUUAAUACUAGUGAAUCUUGCAGUGACAAUAUUUUUGAUCUAGUGCAUAUGGAUCUAUGGGGUCCAUAUAGAGUAAAGACAAAUGGCAAUUGCACUUAUUUUCUCACUCUUGUAGAUGAUAAGUCUAGAGCCUCUUGGCUAUUUCUCCUUUCUGAUAAAGUGAGUGUUGUGUCAGUUCUCACUGAAUUUGUUGCAUAUGUUCAAACGCAAUUUAAACUCACUAUUAAAAUAUUCAGAUCCGAUAAUGGAACUGAAUUUGUUAACCACAAAUUUCAGCAGUUGUGUGCCACUCAUGGUAUUAUACACCAAACUACUUGUGCCUACACACCACAGCAGAAUGGUGUUGUAGAACGGAGGCACAGACAGCUACUAAAUGUAGCCAGAGCAUUAAAGUUUCAUGCUAGUAUUCCUAUCUCCUUAUGGGGAGAUUGUGUCUUGGCUGCUUGUUAUCUCAUUAACAGGACUCCAACACCAUUACUUCAGGGAAAGUCACCUUAUGAGGUGUUAUUUGAUAGCAAGCCUAAUUAUUCCCUACUGAAAGUGUUUGGAUGUCUCUGCUUUGCUACUGUGGUUCCACAGUCCUCAGACAAGUUUUCUGCUCGAAGUAUUAAAGCAGUAUUUCUUGGAUAUCCCUUUAAUAAAAAGGGUUAUAAAGUGUUAGAUCUUAACACUAAACAGGUGUUUGUGUCUAGGGAUGUCAAGUUCUUUGAGACUCUAUUUCCUUUUCAGCAAAUAGUCUCUCAUCAACCACCAACUACAUCACCUAUGUUUACUGAUACGUCUGCUCAGGCUAUCUUAGCAGAUCCUAUUACACAGUUUCCUGUACCUGAGCAUGUGCCUAAUAAUAGUCAUAUGGACUCUUCUGAUGCUUCACCUGGUGCAUACAGUGAUCCAUAGUCUACAGCUUCACCAUCUGUGUCUCAGACUACAGAUCUUGACACAUCACCUACUAGACCUGAGGCUUCUAUUAGACAUGAGGCUCCUGUUCCUGUACAGAGACCUCACAGACAAAGACAACUGCCUGCAAAAUUUAAAGAUUACACAAAUCUGCCUUCUCACUUACUUGCCUCAGCACAGACCUUUAAUCCAGCAUAUGCUCAGUUUCUUGCUAAUGUGUACAAAAUUCCAGAACCAUCAACUUAUCAGCAAGCAGUUACUUCUUCAGAUUGGUGCACAGCUAUGGAUGUUGAACUAGAUGCAAUGGAGGCAAAUCAUACUUGGGACGUUGUUCCCUUACCUGCUGAUAAAAAAGCAGUAGCAUGUAGGUGGAUUUACAAGGUCAAGUACAAAGCAGAUGGUCAAGUUGAUCGUUAUAAAGCCAGAUUGGUGGCUAAAGGCUUCACUCAAACUGAAGGCUUGGAUUUUUUUGAUACUUUUGCACCAGUUGCAAAAAUGACCACAUUUCGAGUUAUUCUGGCAUUGGCUGCAAUGAACAAUUGGUCUUUAACUCAGCUUGAUGUCACAAACGCUUUUCUACAUGGCUAUUUACACGAGGAGGUUUUUAUGGAGAUUCCUCUAGGUUACCAUAUUCCUGAUGAUGUCAAGCGGAAGUAUCCUGCUCAGACUUUAGUUUGCAAGCUCAUUAAAUCCAUUUAUGGCUUACGUCAGGCUCCAAGAGAGUGGUUCUCUAUCUUGUCUGAAGCACUUCUUGAAUUUGGAUUUCAGCAAGCUUUCAGUGACUCAAGUCUGUUUGUGUUUAAAACUGGUUCCCAGAUGGUUGUUUUACUUGUUUAUGUGGAUGAUAUGGUGCUCACUGGAAAUGCUCCAGAUCUCAUGGCUAAGGUCAAAGUCUUUCUUGCCAGCAAAUUCAAAAUUAAAGAUCUGGGUCCAUUAAAGUAUUUCUUGGGUAUAGAAAUUUCAAGGUCCAGUGCUGGGAUUUAUCUCAAUCAACGCAAAUACUCACUUGACAUUGUCAAAGAUGUUGGCUAUCAGGAAGCCAAAACUGUUCAAGUGCCUAUUGAUCAGAAUCAUAAUCUUACAGCUGAGUCAGACUCUCCUUUGCUCAAUAAUAUUUCAGCAUACAGGCGUUUAAUUGGUCGAUUGAUUUACUUGACUAUAACACGCCCAGACCUCUCUUAUGCUGUACACAUUUUAGCUCAAUUUAUGCAUAAGCCACAAGAGAUACAUUGGCAAGCUGCCCUGAAGUUGGUAAAAUACAUUAAACAUACAUGUGGUCAAGGUAUACUACUCUCAAGCUCAUCAGCAUAUGACCUCCGUGUUUACACAGAUGCAGACUGGGGUAGUUGCAAGAAAACCCGACAAUCUAUCACUGGAUUUUGUGUUACUCUUGGCAAGUCUCUUGUUUCCUGGAAAUGCAAACGCCAAAACACUGUUUCUCGAUCUUCAGCAGAAGCUGAAUAUCGUGCCAUGGCGGAUGCCUGCUGUGAAAUAACUUGGCUACUUUCUCUGUGCAAAGAGUUACAUACACCCUCUCUGGCUCCUGUAUCGCUCUACUGUGAUAACCAAUCUGCGUUACACAUUGCUGCCAACUCGAUAUUUCAUGAACGUACAAAGCAUAUUGAAAUUGAUUGCCACCUUAUUCGCCAGAAAAUCAAACAAGGCAUUGUCGUUACUCAUCAUUUACCUACAACUGAGCAACCAGCUGAUUUAUUCACUAAGGCAUUACCUGGUUAUCAGCUCAAGUAUCUACUGUCCAAGUUAGGAGUAUUCAACUUGUUUCCUACUCCUCCCUUGAGGGGGGAUGUUAAUGAUACUACAGAAUAUUCUAGUGAUGCCAAAUCAGCAAAGUCACAGCUGGCAACAGCUCUCAUAGCUAGUGGGAGUUAGUUAGAAAUGAGUAACAACCUGUAUAUAAAGACAGUAGGCGUAGUGGUUAUAUUAGCCAGUUAGCUUAUUUGUUAAGUAAUGUUCCUUUAUAUUUCUUUCCUGUAAAUACACUUUGAGAGCUUUAAUGGAGUUUACAUAGAUUUAGUAUACACAUUCUAUACAUUCUAACAAGAACAAAUUUAAUUCAUUUUCAAGUUUGGGAGAUAGAAACAUCUCCAAGGAUAAUAUAUAUAAUUAGAACAAAGUUCCAUGUAGUCCACAUAUUUACUGUAGUACCGUAGACCACGUAUGUUCUGCAACUAUAAAAUGACAUAAAAACAUUGCAAAAUGUGUUAUUUUGCAAAUCAUGUUCUAUAAACAUCAUUAUUUUGUUAAAAAUUUUGACAAUCCUAAACAUUUUACAAGUUAAAUAGUGAAAAACACAUUAUUCUGCAAAACAUGUUAAGUUUGCAGAACAUAUUUACAUAUUACAGAACAUAUGUGUUCUACUUGUCGAACAUAAAUGAUUUUCAAUAUUUUUCAUGAAAUAGUGAUAUUUAUAGAAUGUAUUUCACAAAAUAACAAGUUUCAUACAUUUUGCAAUGUUCUUAUGUCAGUAAAUAUGUGGAUUAUAUGGAACUUAACUCUAUGUAAUUAAUGGGCUAUAUUCCUUUACUAAGAUGAUUAUAUAAAAAUUCAGUUAAGGACCUUAUGUGCUAUGUACUGCAUUAGGGUUGUGUGUGUAAUCUUGGAAUGUUUAUGUAAAAUUAUGAGGCCAUUUGAGUAAAUUAAAAAAAAAAUGCUUCUUGCUUCAAGUUUUUUUUUUAUUGCAUCCGCUAUAAUAGAAUCAUGAUCGAAUGUGGAGUCUAUCUCUUAAAACAUGUUUGGCAUUGGUCUGACUAAUUAAGGCCUUUUUUGUUUUGAUGUAACCAACUACGUAACGAGAAAUUCCUUUAAUAUAUACUAGCCUAUAACCCGUGCGAAGCACGGGCGACCAUAUAAUUUUAAUGUGAUUAUUUAUAAGCUUAAUAUCAUUUUACUUAUGUUUUUUUAUUAAUUAAAUAAAAUGGUAUUAAAUUAUAUUAGUUGAUUCCAUAUGUGAAUGUUUCAACUUUCAUAUAAGCUUAAUACUAUAUUUUUUUAUUAAUUAAAUAAAAUAUUAUUAAAUUAUAUUAGUCGAUUGAUUAUAUUAACUUUUGAAAGUUUGUCUUGUGAAAUAUUUUUCUAUAUUAGAAAUUAUUAAUAUUAACAAUCAAUUUGUUUUUCAAUAUGUGAAUGUUUUCUUAAUAUUAAUAUAUGAUAAUGUGGUUUCUGAUUAAUAUCACCUCAAAUUAUUCAUAUUUCAUUGCAUAGCAAAUGAUACUAUUGUAUUUGAAAAAAUUUAGUUAUAUUAAAAUAUUGAGCUGAAAUUGUUAGUUAUUGGUAAAAGAUCUAUACAUUUAAAAAAUUUAGUUAUUAAAAUGUUUUUAUUAUCUAUACGUGAAUUUUUUCUUAAUAGUACAAUAUAUGAUAAUAAUGUAAAAUGCUACGACAAUAAGGGUGAUGUCUUCGGAGCUCUUUGUCGAUAACUGGUGCACAUAGAACUUGCGUGUCAUUGACGGGGAGUUUCAUGAGCAAUGCUUGGGUCCAUACAGGUUGGUCGAACUUCUGCAAUUGUUUUCAUUAUUUUAUUACUAUUGAAUAAGCAAUGAGACAUUUUGUCAUCUUCCGUGUCUUGUUUACCAAAGUGCAUAUAUCUGGACCUGGAUUAUAUUUGCACAUAAAGUUUUAUCAUGUAUGCAAACUUUGUUGGUCCUUAUUUAGAUCAGCAAUGGAUGGCUUGAUAGGUAGAAUGAUGUUCCGCAAGUCACUCGAUCAUCUGACAAGAAUAUUCAGGUCUACUUCAUUUGAUUUAGAAGAGUGUCAUACAAGAGCUACCUCAAGUUUUGGAAGUUGGAACAUAUUUGAGAAUACCUUGAUCUUGAAAUUAUGUUUGUGGCUGAGUCUUUGAUUUGGAAUUGUGAGCGAAUAAACUGAUGUAAAUUACAUUAUCUGCAAGUAAAGAGUUGCACAGGAUACAUUACACAAAACCAAAAUUAUAUGUAACUUGCAAAUCUGCUACCACUUGGGUAAUGGGUCUUGACUACUUGAAGAUUGAUAUGCCUUACAAGUUAUUAGAGUCAAUACAAUGGCAUAACUAUCAAAGCAGAUUUGAGACAAAAUGACAUAACAUCAGUGACCUGAGCUUGAAUGCACAUCUACCCUCUUGACAAAUGUUGUAUUGUAUUGAAAAGACUUACAACAGCAAAUAUGCAAAAUGAAAGUAUAAAACAAUGAGUGCCAUUACAUGUCCGUUGCCCUGAUGCUUCUUUGUCGUAAAUAUAGCCAGCCACUCGAACAGACAUUAUAUAAGAUCCGAUGGGGCUAGCCACAUCAAUGGUGCUGAAAAUGGUUCCUAAAUGCAGCACACCAAAAAUUUCUGAGGUAAUGGUGGGCAUCAAGGACCACUGAGAACCAUAACAACACCAACUAUAACAGAACCCAAACACAAAUUCCCAGGAAAUCCAGAUGCGAUAACUAAAUGACCAGAAGCCAUGGUUGCUAGCGUAAGAAUCAUAAAAACUGGCCUUGGCCAGCCUCUUUUCUGGAGGUAAACAUCUGAUACAUAACCAGCUCCAAAACGUCCGAGAAAAUUCCGUAUACUCCACAAAGAAACCAUUAUCCUGUUAAGGUCAAUGAAGUACACAAUAUAAAUAAAGUUAGAGCUCUCAUUAGAUGAAAAUGGCAUGAUCUGGUAUUAUUCUAAACUUCGGAUAUUUUUAGCAGACGAUUUAGAUAAUAAAAACGAAAGAUGUUUUGCAUUGUGUAUAUAACGAUGAGGAAUCGGCAAAAUCUGAUACCUUAUUUGCUGCCUUGUUGCCAAGACCAAACUUAUUAGCAUGUUUGCUGUGUAGGUUUCUCCUUGGCAUGAUAUACCAUUGCAUGUGGGUGAUGGUGUUUUCAAUUUUAUUGUUGAAAUUCCUAAAGAAUCAAAUGCGAAGAUGGAGGUUGCUACUGAUAAAAUCAAUCAUAUUCAGAAGAAAAAAAACUGGCAAAUUCUAGAUAAUUAACAAGACAAAACAAAUUGAAUAUAUACAAUUUGAAUGCUAUAAAUUGUAAAAAUCUGAAAUCAAGAGCUUACAUUCAUACUAUACACAAACUAAAUCAUGAGCAAUUUGCUCGGAUUAGACAUAGAUACAGUCAUACCUCUCUUUCAUUACUUGGGAUUCAUAAGAAAGAGUUCGAGGUCGCAGAGAUGGAGAGAGAGACAGAGGGCGAUGGUGAUAGUGGCUUUAUGCGUAGUAUUUGUUUUUGUGUGUAAACCGAACUUCUGUCAGGACUCGGGAGGUAGAACUGUAAUAGGAUACGAUUCAUGAGACGAGAGUAUAAACCAAAAAAGUGCGACGAAACCAAAAAACGGGAACAAAAAGUGGGACUACAAAUUAUACUCAUGUUGGCUGACAUAAAGACAUGUUCGGGACCACAACAUUAGUAUUAUACUAUACUAAGCACACAUACACAUAUACAUCACAGAUCAAAGAGAUUUAGGUUAAAAAAGGGUUACCUUUGUAGUCAGGGCACUCGUGCAAACCAUAUUUGUGCAUUUCCUUACGGGGGCGCAUGAACCAGUCCAUGAUCUUCGAUUUCGUUACAAGAUUAAUUAUGAUUGAAAGAGGGGUUAGGGUUUUUUAGUUAAAGGGAGGCAAGAGACUCGUUUUUUCGCGGGCUUCUCUAAAGACUACCCCUACACUCGCUAAUGACCGUUGUUAUACCCUAAAACCCCUUUCUACCCUUCUUAUUUUAAUUUUUUUAAAUUUUUUUGGGAGUUAACGGUGCAAAUCUAACGGAGACAGACGGCCGCCACCAUUCUAAAACGCGGAGGUAAACCCGCGCCACCAUUCUGUAGUUUUUGAAGUCCAGCCACCGUUUUGUAAAAUUCGUCAAACCUCAGCCACCACUUUGUCAUUUACUCAUCUCAAUUUAAUUUAUGACCCUAUUUGAAAAUUAGCGGUUAUCGGUUAAUUGUUAGCGAUUUAACGGAUCGAAUUAGCUGUUUUGACUAAUCGAUUGAAUGAGAUGUUUUGACUAACGGAUUGAAUCAGCUGUUUCGUAAAACUGUUUGGUUAAUAGCUGAUUGAUUAGUUUUUUCUGACACAAACCAAAAGCAAUAAUCCAAAAAACUCCUCAGAGUAGUUUUUUCAAAAUUAGCUUUUUGGAUCUAAUCAUCUAUUUAAAUCCACUAACUACCAAACACUAAUAUUAACUUAUUUUAGUGGUCAAAUUUCUAAAAUACCUCAAACCUCUAAUUUUGCUCAAAUCUCUAACUUCCAGACAGCUGUUAUCGUAUCCUCUGUUCCUACCACACGUCUAUAAUUAAUCAUCACGCUGGUACUGUCAUACGGUCAAUUUGGUCCACAUGGGCAGGUGUGACAACCCUCUUCCUUCUAUUGAAGAAACUUUUAUAACAGUGAGUAGGAUUUUUAAUACUGCGUGCCCCUAGAGAAUGUAUACAUUUACUAUUUAUAUGUAAGAUUUUUAUAAUAUAUAAUCUUAUAAUCUUUUCUAAUAAAAAUUUAAACAGCAAAUUUUUAUUCAAGAGAAUUUUUUUUAAAUGUAAUAUAAAACUAUAUUUUAAAGGAGUUUUAGAAAAUGUUUCAAAAACCUAAGUAUACAAUUGAAUUAGACAGCUAGAGUAUAAUUGAAUAUUUGAAUGGAGUAAGAGCAUCUCUAAUUGUGCUCCUAAAUCAUUUCUUAAAUAAUUCCGUAUUAGUCGUGUUUAUCUUUUUGAGAUGUUUGUGUUUGUUUUGAUGUUUUGGUGUGUUUUGUUACGGGUUUUGAUGGUGUUUCUAAGAAGGACUUACAUAUUUUGGGUGAUCCGCACGACUUGUAUCAAAUAUGACACGGUGGCGAAUAUCGGAAGANAUCGGAAGAGUUCAACAUGACUAACAAUUUUACAUGUUUCGGGGUCAUUUGUUGAUCUAAUACCAGUUGAUAUAACUGAUAAUUCUGAACAUUGGGCUAAAAUUGCUACUGCUUAUGUGAAGGUCAAUUGCAAUGCUACUAAGUUUACAAUUGAUGUAUUUUGGAUUGCUCGAGAUUUAAUUGUAAUACUUUUUAGAUUAAAAAAUUUGAAUAUUCUAUGUGUUAAGCGAUCUGAAAAACAAAAGGCUAUAUAUUUAGCUAAUUUUUUGUUUCAUAAUCAGGUUGUAAUUAACAGGUCGAGAGCUUGUCUCGACUGGAUUUCAAUAAUUUAUUAAAUUUUUUGCUUUUCGUAAAAAAAACAGACUAAAGGUGAUAGUUAAAUUAAGACUUAUAAUUGAUUAAGCGGCUUGGAAAAGAAGUAGAAAUGCCCAAAUAAAAAUUAGUAUUCUCAAAUUUUUAUAAAUUAUUAAUAUUUUUUACAUAAACGGAUGAACAAAAGCCUGACUUCUUAGAAAAAACAGAAGUCUUGAUGCGAGACACGCACGUGCUGAUAUAUUAUACAGUUGCAGUCUUGCAGAGUGUAGACGCAAAAAUGAUUUUUAAAUACUAACUUUACAUUUGUUAAUUCAACGAUUUAAUAGAAGCAAGAUACCAAAAAAGGAAAACUUCGCUAUUAUAAACUAAUUGACUAUUGUUUCAACUUUUGUAGACACUUGGUGUCUAGAUAAUAAACCUUAACUAUGAUUAAUCAUUUUGAGAUUACAGUUGUCGAGUGGAGUUGAAAUGAUAAGUUAUAUAUGCUUUUCUGGAUACACUAACCACCUUUUUGUAUCAUGUAUUUAGUAUAAUAUUAUAAAAUCUAAUGACCAUAAAAUUACUGCUAGAUGCAAUUUGAUGUGAUGAUUUGAUGUUAGAAUAAGUUAUCAGGAUCAAUAAAUUUAAAAUAAAUUAAUGUUAUCUUUUUAUGUGAUGGGAGUUGAUCUCUCUUUUUCAACAUUGAUCAAUUAGACAGUUUUAUCAGCCUGAUGCUAUCAGGCGUCAACUUUAAGCAACCGAGCUUUAGUUGGUUGCCCGCCCCUGUUUCAUUNNNNNNNNNNNNNNNNNNNNNNNNNNNNNNNNNNNNNNNNNNNNNNNNNNNNNNNNNNNNNNNNNNNNNNNNNNNNNNNNNNNNNNNNNNNNNNNNNNNNNNNNNNNNNNNNNNNNNNNNNNNNNNNNNNNNNNNNNNNNNNNNNNNNNNNNNNNNNNNNNNNNNNNNNNNNNNNNNNNNNNNNNNNNNNNNNNNNNNNNNNNNNNNNNNNNNNNNNNNNNNNNNNNNNNNNNNNNNNNNNNNNNNNNNNNNNNNNNNNNNNNNNNNNNNNNNNNNNNNNNNNNNNNNNNNNNNNNNNNNNNNNNNNNNNNNNNNNNNNNNNNNNNNNNNNNNNNNNNNNNNNNNNNNNNNNNNNNNNNNNNNNNNNNNNNNNNNNNNNNNNNNNNNNNNNNNNNNNNNNNNNNNNNNNNNNNNNNNNNNNNNNNNNNNNNNNNNNNNNNNNNNNNNNNNNNNNNNNNNNNNNNNNNNNNNNNNNNNNNNNNNNNNNNNNNNNNNNNNNNNNNNNNNNNNNNNNNNNNNNNNNNNNNNNNNNNNNNNNNNNNNNNNNNNNNNNNNNNNNNNNNNNNNNNNNNNNNNNNNNNNNNNNNNNNNNNNNNNNNNNNNNNNNNNNNNNNNNNNNNNNNNNNNNNNNNNNNNNNNNNNNNNNNNNNNNNNNNNNNNNNNNNNNNNNNNNNNNNNNNNNNNNNNNNNNNNNNNNNNNNNNNNNNNNNNNNNNNNNNNNNNNNNNNNNNNNNNNNNNNNNNNNNNNNNNNNNNNNNNNNNNNNNNNNNNNNNNNNNNNNNNNNNNNNNNNNNNNNNNNNNNNNNNNNNNNNNNNNNNNNNNNNNNNNNNNNNNNNNNNNNNNNNNNNNNNNNNNNNNNNNNNNNNNNNNNNNNNNNNNNNNNNNNNNNNNNNNNNNNNNNNNNNNNNNNNNNNNNNNNNNNNNNNNNNNNNNNNNNNNNNNNNNNNNNNNNNNNNNNNNNNNNNNNNNNNNNNNNNNNNNNNNNNNNNNNNNNNNNNNNNNNNNNNNNNNNNNNNNNNNNNNNNNNNNNNNNNNNNNNNNNNNNNNNNNNNNNNNNNNNNNNNNNNNNNNNNNNNNNNNNNNNNNNNNNNNNNNNNNNNNNNNNNNNNNNNNNNNNNNNNNNNNNNNNNNNNNNNNNNNNNNNNNNNNNNNNNNNNNNNNNNNNNNNNNNNNNNNNNNNNNNNNNNNNNNNNNNNNNNNNNNNNNNNNNNNNNNNNNNNNNNNNNNNNNNNNNNNNNNNNNNNNNNNNNNNNNNNNNNNNNNNNNNNNNNNNNNNNNNNNNNNNNNNNNNNNNNNNNNNNNNNNNNNNNNNNNNNNNNNNNNNNNNNNNNNNNNNNNNNNNNNNNNNNNNNNNNNNNNNNNNNNNNNNNNNNNNNNNNNNNNNNNNNNNNNNNNNNNNNNNNNNNNNNNNNNNNNNNNNNNNNNNNNNNNNNNNNNNNNNNNNNNNNNNNNNNNNNNNNNNNNNNNNNNNNNNNNNNNNNNNNNNNNNNNNNNNNNNNNNNNNNNNNNNNNNNNNNNNNNNNNNNNNNNNNNNNNNNNNNNNNNNNNNNNNNNNNNNNNNNNNNNNNNNNNNNNNNNNNNNNNNNNNNNNNNNNNNNNNNNNNNNNNNNNNNNNNNNNNNNNNNNNNNNNNNNNNNNNNNNNNNNNNNNNNNNNNNNNNNNNNNNNNNNNNNNNNNNNNNNNNNNNNNNNNNNNNNNNNNNNNNNNNNNNNNNNNNNNNNNNNNNNNNNNNNNNNNNNNNNNNNNNNNNNNNNNNNNNNNNNNNNNNNNNNNNNNNNNNNNNNNNNNNNNNNNNNNNNNNNNNNNNNNNNNNNNNNNNNNAGACAUACCAAUAAUAACUUUGAAUAAAAUUGUACACCAUAGGAACUCUAGCCUUGCACCAAGGCCUUAAUUCAUCUGUGGAACGACCAUGGCAUAUAUUAACAUAUCCAUAUGCUUGGAAAAUGAACAAUGGUAGACAUAUGCAUAAACAACACAAUGCUCCUGCAAAAAGAAUUUGUACUGUCAUCUAGUUGAGAAGUAGAUAAAUUUAUAAGAAUGUCAAUGAUCAAUCAGAAAACUUAUUAUAACAAAAAGCUAACUUUACACAGUUAACAUAGUAUAAUUAAGAUAAAAGGCAUGGCCUACUUGAACUAAAAUGAGAAUUUGAGAACUGAGAAGUUCCGGUGACAAUGUAGAAAUUUUCAAUUUCAACUAUGCCAAGCAGCUUCAGUCAAUGGCUUACAUAAACCCGCUUUUUGUAGUAGGCAGCAUCGUAAGCUUGAUGCAUUGUCUAGAAACCAAUAUAGCCUGCAUUAAGAACCCCAUUUGACCUUGCUAGUACAGAGAGAGCAAACCAAAGUGUAGACUUAUUCUUUGCACCAGACAUAAGGUGACAUAUUCCUCCAAUUGAUAACAGGGCAUAUAAACUCUCAGAAUAUCUGCACAUAACAGCACUAAGCAGCGAUCAACAUUCAUUUUCAACUUCCACAUUAAAUAUUGAAUAAAGGGAGGAGUAUACAUUGAUGAGAAAAAUAUGGAAGCUGGAUUGAAACAAAACAAUAUUGAGGCCCUCAGUGCUGUCCUCUUAUACUUCAACACAAUAACUGACAACCUGUUAAAAAGAGAGUAGCACACUACUCAACUUGAUGAAAAUUUGCAAUUUAAGUAUACAAAAUCAUACACAAAACAAUAUUAUCCAAUACAUGAGGCCGUAAAGAGAAAGCACACAAUUAUAAAUAUAACUAUAUUUCUCUAGAAACUGAAUGCUACAUUUAUAAAUCUCUGAUUAGAUUUCCCCAAACUUCUAAAUCUAAUUUUGUACUCCCUCUAUUUUUUAAUAUUUAACGCUUUGACUUUGGACACGUACUUUUAAGUGCUUUGACCGAGUAGCUAAAAAUAUUGUUUUUAAAAUUUUCUUUUUCUGAAUAAAAAUAUAUAAUCAAAAUUUUAAUUCACAAAAAAAAUCAAUCAAAAAUAAUAACUUUUACUAUCCGGUCAACUCGCCAAAAAAUGUGUGCCAAAAGUCAAAACGUCAAAUAAUAAAAAACAGAGGGAGUAUAUCUUAUUCUUCAACUUUAAUCUAGACAUCACAUCUGUUCGCCAGUGACGCAAACAUCAUUGAAGUGUUUAUCCAUAUAGUUUAUUAUUUCCAUUGAAAGACGCAAAAGGUCCAAAGUAUUUUACACAUAAUAGAUAGACCCACUAACUGUAACUCAUAUAAGCAUAUAACUACUGCCUGCGCAUGAGCUAUAAGCAACUAAAUUACUCGGCUUUAUAUAAUUGUCAAACAAUUAUAGACAUUAAUAUAGAUAGUUGUAGACGCACAUACACCGGUAGUCAUGUAGGAUAUAGUAACAACCAACUCAUGACUCACCUAUGGAAAUACACUGCCGCAAAGACAUAUGCUAUGUUAUUAAGCACGUAACCAGAUAAGCCUAGCACAGCCCUGUAUCCAACAAGCGGAACCAAGGAAGCAAAAACUGCAAGUCACACAAGCAUGUAACAGUAUCAAUACAACUUCAUAACGUCAAUAUUUAAGAUUGCAGGUCUUCAACAGUGACCAGUAGCUUAUUAGGUCAUGAGAUUCUGAAUUAUUUAUUAUUCAGUUAAUAUACAUCAAGUAUUCAAAUAUAUAUUGUUAAGUAGGCUGAAGUUAUCUAGUUUAUCUAUAAUAUGCUUAACUGUUUAUGGGCGGGGUUUUAUUUCUCACUUAAGGUUGUACCUCAUAAGACUUGAUAACCAAAACAUUUUUGGAUAUCAAAUUAGGUCUAUUUGUUUAGAGGUUGUAAAUUUCUGAUCCCCAGUCAAUUUUUAAUCGUUUUUGUUGUCAUAAAUCAAUGCUACCAAAUUCUAUCUUGCAAUAUCAACCCUUCCUAUAAAUUCAAUAAAACCAGUUCUACAUAUCUGAAAUACCACAAGCAUGUUGGUCACGAGACCUCAGAUUUCUUUAUAAUCCCCAAUAUUCCAUAUUUGCAAGUUAUAAUUUACUAAAAUAAAUUUUCAAAUUCAUUAUUCUUUUCCGAAGGCAUAAAAACAGCCGGAUUCAGGCUUACAACUAAAAUAAUACUCUAUCCAUGUCCAAGAUAAAUCACUUCAUUACGCAGCCAGAAACAAGUUCAUUUAACAAGAAUGCAUUAUACUACUCGAAACACGAAACACUUUAAUACAUAUCUAACACAUAUUAUACAAUAUAACAAUAACCGCAGCCGAAAGUAAAAAAGACACACAUUUUAGGACAAUCAAAUUAACUGAAAUUGUAAGUAAAGAAACGCACCAGUUUUGGACAAAACGAAAAUGCAGAAAGGAAGCAAGGGCCAGAAAACAUAGGACUGCUCGUAUUCAUAUCCGCAUUGCGCGAUACGAACAAAGUAAACGCUAUCCCAGACAAUGCUGUUUUCAAUUAAGGAAGCCACAUACGGAAAUUUGAUGUGAAUUGAUUGAUUAUUUGGUGAAGAAAGCCAAUUAGGGUUUAUAGAAACAGAUGUAUCGUAGGAAGAGACUGAGAGAUCGGCAGAAGAUGAUUAGGGUUAGUAGUAAGAGUCUUGAUGCAAUUGCGAUGUUAGUAACGAGGCGAUUGUGGUGAUCUCUGUUGGGAGAGAGAGACGUGAUAGGAUACUGUUUGUAAACGUCGAUAGUCGGUACAACACUGAGACCAAACCAAAAAAAGUGGGACGAAACGAAAAAACGUGAACAAAAACUAGGACUACAAAUUAUACCUAUGUUGUCUUAUUAUAGUAUAGUAUAGUAUAGUAGUAUAGUAUAGUAUAGUAUAGAUUAAGUGCAAGUGUUUGGUUAGAUGAUAUCUAAAUAUGAUAGGGGCCCGCAAGGGUUGGUUCAGCUGGUUAAAGAGGGGAUAUGUAUCUUCUUGAUCACAGGUUUGACUCCCGAAGGGAGCAGAAUUUGUGGUUAUGCCUCCUGUAUCAGAGCCUGUCGUGCUUAGGUGCGGUUUACCUUGGUUCACGUAGUUUGCAGGCUAUUGCGUGAACUCGUGGGUUUACCUAGUGCGCACCCGAAGGGUAGCGGCUGCGGGUUCCUACGUUAAAAAAAAAUAUGCAAGGGAACUUUAAAUUUUAUGAUAUUUGUACUUAUCUCAAAACAUGGAAACUUUUUUUUUUGACAAUGCAGGCAUAUAUGCUUUACAAAUUAGUAUCUGAGGAUAAACCCACCACUUGGGCUAUCCAAUCGUGCUAAAAAAAAACAUGGGAACUUAGUUAUAUAUGUUCAUCAUGGUCACUCCAAAUUACAUAACUUUUUAAUAUGAAAAGAUUAAUUACUUACCAAAAUUAAUUAUGUAACUCUUAAUUACAUAGUGAUAAAUCAAACACAAACAUCUUAUUUAACUUGAAACUGUGUGAUACUAACUUAGGUACAAGAAAGUUCAAUUUCCUAUGCAACUUGAAAGUUGACGAAACAAUCUGUCAAAAAAAAAAAAAAAAAGAAAGUUGACGAAACAAACGAGGCCUAAUCAAUUUCGAUGAUUUAUAGAUAUAGUUAUUUUUUAUAACAUUAAAUAUCCUCUAAAUAUUUAUAUCUCUUAUAACAAUAUAUAACUUAUUUCCAAAAAAAAAACAAUAUAUAACUUAUUUCAUCACAAAUAGAGGUUAUUCUUUUCUUUUUGUAAAUAUCAAUGGUCAGAUCUUUGACUCUUAUUAAUAUUCUACUUAAAAAUAAUAAAAAUACAAUCUUUUUCUUUCACAAAUUUUAGUUGAAUUUAUCUCUACUGAAUUUCAAUAUUUUAUUUAUUAUUCACUUAAAUUAAAAAACAUAUUAAUUAAAAUAAGAAUUUCUCAACUAAUUUAGGAAAAAAGCCGGGUUUUGAAUUUAUAGUUUAAAAAAAAAACUGAUUAUUUUAAAAAAUUAUUUUAUUCAAUUAUAUGGAUAUUCAAAAGAUGACCACUUCCAAAUCCCAACCUAUUUAUUCAAUAUUUCAUUUUUGGCAUAUAUUUAUAAAUAUACCAACUUUUUAGAAACUAUUUACAAAAAUACUGUCAAGUUAAUUUUUUUUUUUAAAAUACAAUUUUUUCUCAAAUUAAUUACAAAAAUACGACUUGCAAUUUCUGUAACCUUGCAUUUGCAACCUCAGUUUGCCACGGUUGCAAAUGAAGUUGCAUAAGUUGCAAAUGAAAUUUCUCAUUUGCAACUGUUGCAAAUGGUGUUGCAAACGAGGUUGCUGAAGUUGCAAGUCGUUUCAACUGUUGACAAACGUAGUUGCAAAUGAGGUUGCAGAAGUUGUAAGUCGUAUUUUUGUAAAUAAUUUAUAAAAAAUGAUAUUUUAAAAAAUAUUGAAAGUAAAUUUUGUAAAAAAUUUAAAGAGGUUAGGCAGUUAUGAAAAAAGCCCAUUAUUAUUUCUAUUUAGUAUUUCAUUUUUUCUUUUUCCACAUUGAAAGUACCCAUCUAAUACAUGUACUAUUUCUUUUACUCCCUCCGUCCCGUUGUCACAUUUCCUUUUUUGUUGGUCAAAUUGACUAAUUUUUGACCAAAGAUUACAAGUCACUCCUUCAUUAUUUUAAAAAACUGACAAUCAUCAAUAUACUUAUAUAAAGGAGAAGCGAGGGGCGUGUAGGUGGCGCCUCUCAUAUCACUCCGUCUAUUUUUCUAAUUUUUUGAAAUUUUUGGAUGAAAAAUAUCAAAAAUCAGAACUACCUUUUUUAGUUUCUGAUAUAUUAGAAGCAAGUUUCAGAAUCUGAUUUUGUUUCAGAUUAUUUAUGAAAUAUAGUAGCUUGAAAGUUUUAUAUGAUUUGUUUUUAUAUAAAGGAGAAGUCGCUCCAUUCUAUUUUUCUAAUUUUAUGAAAUUUUCGAAUGAAAAAUAUUAAAAAUUAGAACUACCUUUUUUAGUUUCGGAUAUAUUAGAAACAGGUUUCAAAAUCUGAUUUUGUUUCAGAUUAUUUAUGGAAUAUAGCAGCUUAAAAGUUUUAAUCUGAUUUUGUUUCAGCGGAUAUAUUAGAAGUAAGUUUCAAAAUCUGAUUUUGUUUCAGAUUAUUUAUGGAAUAUAGCAGCUUAAAAAUUUUAAUCUGAUUUUGUUUCAGAUUGUUUAUAUAUGGUUAAUUUGAUUUUGUUUCAGAUUAUUUAAUUAUGGGAAAGAGUAGCACACAAGUCUCUCUGCACCCAUAAAUACCCCUAUAGGUUGUAAGGUUUUUGAUCAUAUAAACACAACCUACUCUCUCUCAAUACCACAACCCUACCUCUCUCUCUGGUGAUAGUUCUCUUGCUCGAUUUCUAGCUCGGUGGUGCCGUUCUUCUGCAACGAUAAGUGAAGGUUGUUUAUACGGUAAUAAAAAAUAAAGGUUGUUGCAAGCAAAGGUAUAGACCGUUAUGUGGGAGUCGACAAAUCCAAACACGGGAGGAAAAUUAUAGUCUUUGACUUGAUAUUGAUGGAUGAUAUCAAUAAAUUAACUAUUAGUGAUGUAUGUUUGUUGGUUAUUCUUUUAUAAUGUUUGUUGUUGUUAAUUUUUAUAUGAUUUACUUUGUAUACAUGAAAAUAUUAUUCAUGCAUUAUCUGUUUGCUCCGUUUAAGCAACUUUUAAGUGAAUGCUGUUUAUACAAUAUUAAAAAAUAAAGGUUGUUCCACGCAAGGGUAGUUAUAGACUGCUAUCUCACGGAUUUAACUUACAUGUUUUUGUGCACAAUCAAUCCAAAAAAAUUGGAGGAAAGUGACAAUGUAAGAACAUGAUCACUUUUAAAAAAAAAACACACAAAUAAAAUUAAGAUUCGUCGUGUUUUAAAUUGUUAAUUACGUGUAGAAAUUUAUUUUCAUUUUUUCACCAUGAAUUAUAGUCCAAUUUUGAAAUUUUAUAUAUUAGUAUUGGUAUUACAUCAAGAUUUUUAUAAUAUAAAAUUUUUUAUAGACAGCCACAAAAUUAUUAUACUCUACAAAUAUAAAUAUUAAAUAAAUUAUUAAUAUAAUUUUUAUAAACCGCCGCAACGCGCGGCUUCUCAACUAGUUACAUCUUAAAGUAGAUUAAAAGGUAUUUUUGGUGACAUAUUUUUUUUACUUUUUUAAUUGAUAAAAUAUUAAAAAAUUGUAGUCAAAUUUUGGUCCAUUUAAUCGGCACAAAACUAAAUAUGAAAACUAAAAUGGGUAAUAUCGUCCUCCCUUUAUCACUAAUCUAAAAACACCCAUCUCUCUCGCUGCGUCUCUCUACACAUCUCUCCCGAUAUCUCUCUCUACAAGCCCUAGGUUUAAUUUCUCAGUGAAUCAGCAAAUCCCAUGAAUUGAUUGAUACAGAGAUAUGUUUAUGCUCUCGCGAUUUGCGUGCUAGGGUUUCAGUUCGCUAUUAUUGCUCAAUUACAUGCUAUCAGUUAUGAAUAAUAAAGAUGAUGUAGAUACAGAUAUCAAAGAUUUAGGUGAAAAGAUUGUUGCUUUUGAUGAAUCUAGUGAUGGUAAUGAUAGUCUAGAUGUUAAAUGUAACGAUGGUGAUGAAGCUGGGGUUUCUGAAUUGAAGAAAGUUUCAAAAGAUAAGAUUUUGGGGGAAAAUGAGGGGUUGAUUGAUUGGGUUGGUGGCGAUGAGAAAGUUAAAAAAGGGAAGGAGAUUAGUGGUCGGAAUGACGAGAGUGGUCGGGUGGAGGUGAGUGAUAGUGGAGUGCGGAAAGGGGAGAAGGGGAAGGAGAGAAGGAUGAAAAGGGUUGAAAAAGUCGAGAAAUAUGAGGGGUUUGAGAUAGGGGAUUUAGUUUGGGGGAAGGUGAAAUCGCAUCCUUGGUGGCCGGGACAGAUCUAUAACGAGAAAUUAGCGUCGCCGGAGGUUUGUAGGUUGAAGACGGCAGGGUAUGUGUUGGUGGCAUUUUUUGGUGAUUGUAGCUAUGGUUGGUUUGAUCCUGCUGAGCUUGUGCGGUUUGACUUUGGUUAUGCUGAGAAAUCACGGCAGGUGAGUUCUAGGACUUUUAUUAGAGCUGUUGAAGAAGCUGUUGAUGAGGCGAGCCGGAGGCGGUCUCUGGGCUUGGCUUGUCGAUGUAGAAAUUUGUAUAAUUUUCAUCCAACAGCUGUUGAGGGGUAUGUUUCUGUUGAUGUUGGUGAGUAUGAGUCAGGUAGUGUAUACUCUGUUGAUCAGAUAAGAAGAUCAAGGGAUGAAUUUAAGCCUACCGAGGUGCUUGGUUUUGUGAAUCAACUGGCGUUGUCACCUACUGAAGUCAAGCAUGAGGCCAUAGAAUUUGUGAAGGAUAAGGCCACUGCUCUUGCCUACAGGAAAGCAGUGUAUGCGGAAUUUGAUGAGACCUAUGCACAGGCAUUUGGUUUAGAGCCUGAGCACCCUUCUCGUGCACAUAUGCUAGCCCUGAACCAGCUUCCAAAAGCAGCAAAUCCAGGUACUGAAUUAUUUUUUUCAUAGUUGAUAUAUGUCUUUUAGGUUGUUACAUGCAUUAUCUUGUUUUGAUCUUUCAUGCUUUUGAAUUCUGAUACAUGCUGCCCUGUCCUUGGUAUUACUUCAUUAUCAGAUUAAUGUCUCUGACAGCCAAGUUUUCACACGGUUCCUACUUGAACAUUUUCAUGUAUGAUACAGUAUGUAUUUGCUUCUAUAGGACAUUUUGUGUUCGUAUUCUCCAUUGUGUUUAACUUUUCCUCUCUGAACUUGCUAAAGGGUUUGUGUACGGACUGUUAUGUUUUGGUGAGUAUUUAUUGAUUACUCUAAUGCAUGCAUCUCUAUUUCUGCAUCAUUUUUUGCUAUGGCUACACUUUAGUUGACAUAUUUUUUGAGUAGUCUUUCUAAUCUGAAAGUUUUAGAAAUCCUAGAAUGUGGAUGAUAUUGACAAGUUUAAGACUCAGGAAUAUUUUGAUGACUGACAUUUAGAUACAGAGAUCUGUUUGAUUUUACUGAAAAGCAUAAAAGAAUUGGAAUUUUGAUAGCUCAUGGCUGUUCUCUAGCGGAGAAAGUAAUAUAUAAACCUGUUAUGUCUAUAUGUAGAGAAGAAAAAAGGUUAUUGAUCAAAAGUAGUAGAUACACAAUAUGCAAUACUAGCAAAAUGAUUUGAUUGAUGGAGCACAGAUGAGCAAGACAUAUAAAAUAACAAAAGUAAACAAAACAAGGAGUUUUAUCUGUAAACUCCAGUUAAACAAAUGUGCCAUUUAAAGGGCAACUGUAAUGCUCUCUUAAAGAAAAUCCAUUAUGAGGCAAAAAAACUGUUAACAAUUCCAUUGUAGUGUUUUUGAUCGGAAAUAGUAGAUACACAAUAUGUACUAACAGAACUGGAAACAUUAUUUCUUGUAGACUGUAGUGAUGUUCGACUAUAAUUUAUUUGCGCAGAAUAAAAGAAACUUGAUGGUUUAAUUCAAUCGCUUUUGAGAAAAUACUUAUUUGAGAUUAUAUUUUGUUGUUGUAUCUUAUGUUUUGUUGCAAGUAUCUUGAACUUCUUGUUUUUUUUUGCUAAAUCAAUUACCCUGAACUUUUGUGUUCAUUAGUCGUCCUACUUUUUGGAAAUUUUCGUGCAGCACAAUAAUGAGCAUAUUUUACCAUUACAUGCAAGUGUGUUCCAUGUAUUGUGACCUUUCUUAUACUUAUUUGAUGGUUUGUUUGUAUUUCAGUUCCAUUAAGUGGCCCUCUGGUAAUUGCUGAAGUCCUUGGUAAGGGGAAGGGUUCUUCAAAGUCUAAUAAAUCCAGGGAGCGUGCAAAGAAGGAUCAGUAUCUAUUUAAGCGGAGAGAUGAAACAAAUGACUCAAAGACUAAUGUUCCUGUCCUUCCCGGCGAAGCUGCUUCCUCAGAGCAGCCAGUUUUUGUAGAUGGCUCUUUGGCAAUAUCAGCCAAUGAGUGCCCUUCGCAAAAAAAAUCAGCAAAGGUCUCUAAAAAGCACAAGGAUUCACUAAAACAGCAAGGAGCAGAAAGUUCAGUGAGAGGAGCAAUCUCAGAUCUGAGACAAGAAGCAGGUGGGAAAGGAGAUAUAAGGGAUGAUAAGCCUUCUGGCUUGGAGUUUGGCCAUUCUGACUCCCAUAUGAAUUCGGUUAAUUCUUCCAAUAAUAAACCAGUGGGUGAAGCUCCAUCUCACUCUUGCCAAGCGUAUGAAGCAAAAUCUUCCCAGAAUGAGGGAACGGUUGUAGGGCUGAGAAGUCAAGAGAGCUCUAGAUCUGAUUCAGUGGUUGAUGGCAAACAUGACAAAGCACCUUUAAUGACCAUUGCAUCUGUUGGAAGUCCUGAGCUGUCUUCGAGUCAAGCAGCUAAAACUGAAGUACAUGGAGAACAAGCUCAUGAUGGUGGUGUUGGACAUCCUUUGGGAACAGGUAAUGCAAAGUCUAAUAAAGAUGGUCUAGAUAUAAAUGAUGGCAUUCAAGCAAAGAAAGUCAAGGUCCGUAAGCGACCUGCUGAUAAAGUGAACAGUGAGAAUUCUGUGCCAUUGAUGAAGAAGAAGAGAAAGAAAGAAACAUUAAAUUCCGAAAAUUUGAAAAAUAAUCAGUCUUGUGGAGAAGUUGAGGCGUCAGUGGGGAGCAUAGCUAAAUCACCUGCGCAAGUUGCUACCGCCUCCCGAGAGGAGUUGCACGUGGAGCUUCAGGGGAAUGGAAGUAAGAUCACGGUCGAAACUAUUCUGGCACAGAAGAUGAGUCUAGCGGAGAAGAUAGAGUUGGAGUCUCCAGAAUUACUUCAUUCCUUGAAAGCUUUUGCUCGCAGUUACAAGGGAGGCAGCAACAGCUGUAUGGAAGCUGUUCGGCAAGCUUUCCUUAGAUAUCGUUCACUUGUUUUUGAAAAGAGCUUGGUCCUAUUGCCAGCUGACAGUGGGUUGGCCGAAACUCAUAUCAGUGAGCCUCCAACUGGUACCAAAACCGUUGAUAUCCCUGCUGAAGAUGUUAAAGAGAGACAAUUAAUCAAACCCCAUAGACAAGUGGCUAGGCCUGAAGAUCCAUCUAAAGGCGGGCUGAAACGGGGACCAUCUGAUCGCCAAGAAGAAAUUGCUGCAAAGAAGAAGAAAAAAAUUAAUGACGCGAAAGAAUUAAAAACAAUGAAGGCCAGUCAGAAAACUGUAGUUAUGCAGCAGGGCAAAGAAGUAAGCGGGCAGAAAAUGAAGUCAAUUAAACCAGCACCUCUCAAAGAAGCACGCGGGCCCACAAUGAAAUCAACGAAGCCGAAAGCUCUCUCAGAAGCAAGUGUGCCAACAAUGAGAUCACUUAAACCAGCACCUCUCAAGAAGACGGAGCCUUCCGCAAAAGCACCAGGUCCGUUGAUGUUGGUGAUGAAGUUUCCACCCCAAGGAACACUGCCAUCUAUGAUGGAACUUAAGGCUCGGUUUGCCCGUUUUGGGCAAUUAGAUCAUUCUGCUACACGUAUAUUCUGGAAGAGCUCAACAUGUCGUCUGGUAUAUCGACGCAGGGUUGAUGCAGAGGCGGCAUGUAGAUUUGCUUCUACUCAUAACUUGUUCGGGAAUGCUGAUGUCAGGUAUUUCACGCGGGAGGUUGAAGUUGCGGCAUCUGUAGCUGAACAGGGUAAAGUGCACAAGGAUGAUUCAUCAGUGGGAAACUCACAGUUGACAGAUUCAGCAGUUGAGCAAAGACCAGCCAGAUCCCUACCUCAGCGGACACUGCAACAACCAGGUCAGCCGAAAUCCAUCCUUAAGAAGUCAAAUGGUGACGAGACCAGUGGCACAAAUGGCGGUGGUAAGGGAACUCGUGUAAGAUUCAUUUUGGGUGAGGAAGAAACAGAUAGAGGGGGAGAACAAUCGAUGAUUGGUAAUAAGAACAUUAACAACAAUGCUAGUUUUGUUGAUGGUGGUGCAUCUUCUUCAACUAAUCAUGGAUUGGGUUUUAAUAGUAAGAAUAUUGUCAUUCCUACAUCUUCCUUGCCUAUACUUCCUGUACCUACUGCUGUUGAUAUUUUAAGACCGCCGAACUUUUUGAACCAUACUGAAUUAGCACCAAGAAAUGGUCAUAAUAUUAACAGUGUGAAUGCACCAUCCACUAUCCCAACUCCCCCUAAUGUGGAUAUCUCACAGCAGAUGAUGGGCCUUUUAAAUAAGUGCAGUGAUGUUGUUAGUAAAGUGACAGAUUAUCUAGGAUAUGUGCCUAUGCAUCCUCUAUAAAAUUGAGAAAAGUAGCAAGAGGGAGGGGGAGGAGGGGGAGGNNNNNNNNNNNNNNNNNNNNNNNNNNNNNNNNNNNNNNNNNNNNNNNNNNNNNNNNNNNNNNNNNNNNNNNNNNNNNNNNNNNNNNNNNNNNNNNNNNNNNNNNNNNNNNNNNNNNNNNNGAGGGGGAGGGGCAGGGGGGGUAAAUAUAAGAAAAAUCAUCAUACAUGAACAAAAGAACAUACAGAAGUACCAAAUAAGAAAAGCCCUUACAAGUACAAUGAAGAAUGAAGAAAUGUGGAACUGGGUUAAAAGGUUUGCUAGGACUUGAAGAAUGAAGAUAUAAUUCGGCCAAAUAAAUGGUCAUUUCAGAGCUGAACAAAGUGGGUUUCUUAGCACAAAGGGAGCAAGUGGUCAUCCUGAAGAUUUCAACCGGAUAAUUAUUCUGCGCUCUUUACAUGAUAAAGAUAUGAACUUGCUUUUGUUGGGCUCUAUGUAUCGUGUAGCUGAAGGUGAAGCUUUUACUUCGUUCUGAUUCAACUUGUGAUUUAGUGGCAAUUAAGAUAAAUUAUCUGGCUUAUAAGUUUUCCGUAGACGAUUUGCUGAUGAACUGGGUCUAUAUAGUAUUAUCGUUGUAAUGUUAAAUUGCCGCUGAACUUUGACGUUAGUUUCAAGAACCCCUUGCUUCUAAAGCGAAACUAUGGUUUUAAUUUUUAUUCUCGUUAAUUUUGUUGUAUUCUCAUUAAUUUUAUUGUGGUCUUAGGUAGAGUACCGAUUGAUAAAUGUCAUGUUUGUUAAUCUUGGCGUAUGGUGACCCGAAACUUGAGCAUGUUUUUGCUUUGACGUACUUGUAUACAUGUACAAAAUUCAACAUAGUUGAACCAUGUUAUAUGAAGUCAAUUUAUGUGACGGCGAUUUACCUGUUACAAAU
rnacentral:lncRNA from 1 species